CUGAGGCGACGUCCAUGACCGCCAGUCUGAGCCAAGUUACCAUCAAGGAAGGACGGUUAUAGACAAGUGUUUCGCUUUUCGUACAAGGAUCGGGACGACCUCUCAUUAAUCAUGCCGAUUCUUAGUGGGUGUUGUUUUUGCUUCGACCUGAAGGUCGGAUCAACCAUCAUUGGCGCGCUGAACCUGAUCGGCGCCCUCGUGAACAGCAUCAUGUUUGCCAUCCUGCUGGUGAUGGUCGCCCUCUUCGGCGCCGGAACCAGGAAGGCGCUGGAGGACCCCGUGUUCAAUGAGGACGACGACUACGCGGACGUCAAGGAGGAGCAGAAGCAGGCCAUUGAGCUCGUCUUGGAACACAUGGAAGCGGGUGAGCGUUUCGCAUCG